rnacentral:rRNA from 1 species
UACAGAGGGUGCAAGCGUUAAUCGGAAUUACUGGGCGUAAAGCGUGCGUAGACGGUUUCGUAAGUCGGGUGUGAAAUCCCCGGACUCAACCUGGGAAUUGCAUUCGAAACUGCGAGGCUAGGGUACGGAAGAGGGAAGCGGAAUUUCUGGUGUAGCGGUGAAAUGCGUAGAUAUCAGAAGGAACAUCAGUGGCGAAAGCGGCUUCCUGGUCCAGUACCGACGUUCAGGCACGAAAGCGUGGGGAGCAAACAGG